AUGGAAGUGAGAAGGAACACUAACUGUGGUGUUUACUCAUUUGGUACUAGAGGUGGAUAUUGCAGCGUAGUUGAUGGAGUCACUGCUACAAGGGACGAUGGUUCAGGUAGAGGUAAAGGAUGUGGUAGUGGUACUGCAAAAUCAUGGCAGCGAGAAGGGGAUUGGCUGUGUCCAAAUACAAGAUGUCAGAAUGUAAAUUUUGCAUUCCGAGGUGUCUGUAAUCGCUGUCGGGUAGCACGCCCUGCUGAUGUUAGUGCAAUGGGGACAACUAAAAAUGGUGAAAAAUCUCAGACUCUUACUGUCCAAAUGACUACCGAUGAGUUGAAGAAGUGGCUUCAGUUCAAGGAAGGAACCAUUGAUGAAAGGUCAACAACCAAGAUAUUUGCUACAUCUGCUAACCCCUGUGGUGAUACUUCGAAAUUUGUGAAAGGAAGUUAUUUUGAGGCUGGUACACAGUGGUUAAUAGACUCUGGUGCGUCUAAACAUAUGGCCGGUUCGUAUAAGGAUUUCUGCAGUUAUACUCCUGAUUUUACAGGGCAAAAUGUUAGACUUGCUGAUGGUUCUGGCCAGAGUAUUAGGGGGGUAGGAACAGUUAAAUGUUGCCCAGAUAUGACUCUAUCAUCUGUUUUACAUGUUCCCUCAUUCCCAAUCAAUUUGCUAUCCAUCAGCUGCAUUACAAGAGAACUCAAUUGUGCUGUAAUCUUCUUCCCAACAUGGUGUUUAUUUCUGGAACUUGGGACAGGAAAAAAGCUUGGAUCAGGAAUUACGCGAGAUGGUCUAUACUAUCUAGAUGAUGAUAUGGCACCUGAUAUGGCACCUGUGGCUGCUAUUGUUCUGUCUCAGUCAUCAUUGCAAGAAUUUCUUCUUCAUCAUCGCAGGCUGGGACACAUGUCCUUUAACACCCUGGGUCAGUUGUAUCCUAACCUAUAUAAUAAAAUUUGCAAGGAAAGUCUAGUAUGUGACGCCUGCCAGUACGGGAAGCUAACCCGUAGUAUAUAUAUUUCAUCUGAUCACAGAAGUACAGUGCCAUUUCAAACUAUCCACUCAGAUGUAUGGGGUCCUAGUGGGGUGUGGUCACUUUAUGGAUACAAAUCAUUUGUUACAUUCAUCGACUGUUGCACUAGGACUACUUGGGUUUAUGUAUUGAGAAAUAAAAGUGAUGUGUUUGAAUGCUUUAGGGAUUUCCACAACCUAAUCAUAAAUCAAUAUGAUGCACGGGUGAAAAUAUUCCGAACUGACAAUGGUACAGAAUAUGUAAAUAACCAAUUUGAUGAGUACCUGUCAAGCUUUGGAAUUAUCCAUCAAACUAGUUGCCCAGGCACCUCCCAGCAAAAUGGUCUGGCGGAGAGGAAGAAUAGACAUCUUUUGGAAAUCACACGGUGUAUAAUGUUGGCUAUGAAUGUACCUAAAUAUUUGUGGAGUGAGGCUGUGAUGACAGCUGCAUAUUUAAUGAAUAGAAUGCCAUCUCGGGUGCUUAACAACAAGACACCAAUCGAGUGUUUAACGGGUAAGACUACAUAUGUGGUGCCACCAAAGGUGUUUGGAUGUGUUUGCUUUGUGAGGGAUCAUAGACCAUCAGUUGGGAAGCUUGACCCUAGAGCAGUGAAAUGUAUAUUUGUGGGAUACUCUGGAAAACAGAAGGGUUAUAAAUGUUGGUGCCCAUCUGAAAAGCGGAUGUUUGUGAGCAUGGAUGUAGUGUUCAGGGAGCAUGAACCUUUCUAUGGGGAACCAGUAGAUUUAACUGAUGUCUUUCCUGAUUUAUAUGUUAAUGAUGCUACAGAUCUGGACAACGAGACAGGAGAAGAUAAAGGUGAAGAAUAUAAUGAAGCAACAUCCAGGAAUAUGAUUGUUGGAGUGAUUCCAGCUGCAGAUAUGUAUAACGGUGAAGAUGAAGGUACAUCAGGAGCUGAACAGGAACAGACGCAGGGGGAGCUACGAGAUGAAUCAAAUGAAGCUGUUAAGUGGCCAAAACCAAAUGAAGAACAAGAAGUUCAGGUGUAUAAAAGGAGACACCGAUCUGAGAAGGAAGUUAUCCCAUCUAGGUGUGAUCAUGAAGCUCAAGAAACUCCUGCAGUACAAACACAAGAAACCUUGCCAAGUGUGACACAAUCAGAUGUGCAUGAGUCAUCUCCACAAGUCGAUGGUACGCUUCCCUUACUAUUGGAUGAGUUAGAUAUUCCUAUCGCUCGCAGAAAGCAGCCACGUUCCACUGCAGGGAAAUUACCACCAAAUCUAUCUCAAUAUGAUGUUUCUAAUUAUGUCUCAUAUGUAUCAUUGGGCUCCCAAUAUAAAUCAUUUAUAGCUGCACUCGAUUCCACUCUACNNNNNNNNNNUAUACCACGUGAUUGGCAGGAGGCGAAACAAUAUCCGGAGUGGAAAGCUGCUAUGAUAGAGGAGAUGACAGCACUUGAUAAAAAUAAUACUUGGGUACUCACUACUCUUCCUCCUAACAAAAGGGCUGUUGGUUGUAAAUGGGUAUUUACUGUAAAACAAAAUUCAGAGGGAAAAGUAGAAAGAUAUAAAGCCAGGUUAGUGGCAAAGGGGUAUAGUCAAACUUAUGGAGUGGACUAUGAUGAGACCUUCGCACCAGUGGCGAAAAUGAACACCAUUAGGGCCCUCAUAUCUAUAGCUGCAAAUAAUAAGUGGAAGUUAUUUCAAAUGGAUGUUAAAAAUGCUUUUCUUCAUGGAGAUUUGAAAGAAGAGGUUUAUAUGGAGAUUCCCCCUGGGUUUGGUACACAAGAAACAGAGGGUAAAGUGUGUAGGCUGAAAAGGUCUCUAUAUGGUUUGAAACAGUCACCUAGAGCAUGGUUUGGACGACUUAGAAAGGAGAUAUGCUCUAUGGGUUAUCGACAAAGCAAUGCAGAUCACACCCUUUUCUUUAAGUACCAGAGUGGCAAGAUUGUUAUCCUUAUUGUGUAUGUUGAUGAUAUUGUGAUCACAGGUAAUGAUGAUGAUGGCAUAGCAUCCCUAAAGAAGAUGUUGGCCAGGUCAUUUGAAGUUAAGGAUCUAGGUUUUCUUCAUUAUUUCCUGGGAAUUGAGGUUGUAUAUGGAUCACAAGGUAUUUACUUAUCACAAAGAAAAUAUGUACUUGAUUUACUCGCGGAAACUGGCAUGCAAAAUUGUAGACCAGCGACAACUCCAAUUGAGCAGAACCAUCGUAUUCUAGCAGAUUCUGGUGAUCCUGUGGACAAACAUCAAUAUCAAAGAUUAGCCAUUAAAACCAGUGUGUAA
rnacentral:rRNA from 1 species